rnacentral:rRNA from 1 species
UACAGAGGUCUCAAGCGUUGUUCGGAUUCAUUGGGCGUAAAGGGCGCGUAGGUGGCCUGGUAAGCGUGCGGUGAAAGCCUGGGGCUCAACCCCGGGUCGGCCGUGCGAACUGCUAGGCUUGAGCACUGUAGAGGCAGGCGGAAUUCCGGGUGUAGCGGUGGAAUGCGUAGAGAUCCGGAAGAACACCAGUGGCGAAGGCGGUCUGCUGGGCAGUGGGAGCUUCGGCUCUCUUUAGCCGACACUGAGGCGCGACAGCGUGGGGAGCAAACAGG